rnacentral:rRNA from 1 species
CCUACGGGCGGCUGCAGUGGGGAAUAUUGCACAAUGGACGAAAGUCUGAUGCAGCGAUUCUGCGUGGAGGAUGAAGCAUUACGGUGUGUAAACUCCUUUUCUGGUAGAAGACGAAUGACGGUAUACCAGGAAUAAGGGACGGCUAACUAUGUGCCAGCAGCCGCGGUAAUACAUAGGUCCCAAGCGUUAUCCGGAUUUACUGGGCGUAAAGAGUCUGUAGCCUGAUAUGUAAGUCUGUUUUCAAAUACUCCGACUCAAUCGGAGAAAGGGGAUAGAUACUGCAUAUCUGGAAGUUAUUGGGGGUUAGUGGAAUUUCCGGUGGAGCGGUGAAAUGCGUUGAUAUCGGAAAGAACGCCGAAAGUGAAAACAGCUAACUACAAUAAACUUGACGGUCAGAGACGAAAGCUUGGGGAGCAAACGGGAUUAGAUACCCCGGUAGUC